GAUGAACGCUGGCGGCGUGCCUAAUACAUGCAAGUCGAGCGAACAGACGAGGAGCUUGCUCCUCUGACGUUAGCGGCGGACGGGUGAGUAACACGUGGGUAACCUACCUAUAAGACUGGGAUAACUUCGGGAAACCGGAGCUAAUACCGGAUAAUAUUUUGAACCGCAUGGUUCGAUAGUGAAAGAUGGCUUUGCUAUCACUUAUAGAUGGACCUGCGCCGCAUUAGCUAGUUGGUAAGGUAACGGCUUACCAAGGCAACGAUACGUAGCCGACCUGAGAGGGUGAUCGGCCACACUGGAACUGAGACACGGUCCAGACUCCUACGGGAGGCAGCAGUAGGGAAUCUUCCGCAAUGGGCGAAAGCCUGACGGAGCAACGCCGCGUGAGUGAUGAAGGUCUUCGGAUCGUAAAACUCUGUUAUUAGGGAAGAACAAACGUGUAAGUAACUGUGCACGUCUUGACGGUACCUAAUCAGAAAGCCACGGCUAACUACGUG
rnacentral:rRNA from 1 species